ACGCACGCUGGCGGCGUGCUUAACCCAUGCAAGUCGAACGGUGAACCUCUUCGGAGGGGCUCCGUGGCGAACGGGUGAGUAACACGUGGGCAACCUGCCCCCGGCUCUGGGAUAACUCCAAGAAAUUGGGGCUAAUACCGGAUGUUCACCGCUUCCCGCAUGGGUGGUGGUGGAAAGGGUUUCCGGCUGGGGAUGGGCCCGCGGCCUAUCAGCUUGUUGGUGGGGUAGUGGCCUACCAAGGCGACGACGGGUAGCCGGCCUGAGAGGGUGACCGGCCACACUGGGACUGAGACACGGCCCAGACUCCUACGGGAGGCAGCAGUGGGGAAUAUUGCGCAAUGGGCGGAAGCCUGACGCAGCGACGCCGCGUGGGGGAUGACGGCCUUCGGGUUGUAAACCUCUUUCAGCAGGGACGAAGCGCAAGUGACGGUACCUGCAGAAGAAGCACCGGCCAACUACGUG
rnacentral:rRNA from 1 species